rnacentral:sRNA from 1 species
GCAAAACCAAAAAAAAA